GAGGGUAUCUGUCCCAAAAAUGAUGGUCAGCAACAGUCCUCCAGGGACUGUGUCUAUCGUUGUUCACAAGAUGUCAAUUGCGCUGGCAAGAGGAAGUGCUGCAAAACUGGGUGUGGCACUGACUGCCUGGAGCCACUGACUGGUGUCCCGUCGGUCAAUUCAACAACAUCUCCUCCUGACACUCAAGCAAUAGAAGAAGCUUCUGGAGAGUAGAACAGAGGGGUCUCAUAACAGCUGGAAGUUACUCCUGGAUCCUCCCCAAAGUGGCCGUCCAUCCUGCAUGCCAGCAUCUCCCUCGCGUCUCCCCUUCCCUCUACCAUCACUGUAUUACUCUCCUUUCUCCCAUCCAAACAUGCCUUAGCAAGCCCAGCAUGAAUACAAACAUCUAUGGCCAUAUAAAGCAUUGUCAGAAAGUU